rnacentral:rRNA from 1 species
AGUGAACGCUGGCGGUAGGCCUAACACAUGCAAGUCGAACGGCAGCACAGUAAGAGCUUGCUCUUACGGGUGGCGAGUGGCGGACGGGUGAGGAAUACAUCGGAAUCUACUUUUUCGUGGGGGAUAACGUAGGGAAACUUACGCUAAUACCGCAUACGACCUACGGGUGAAAGCAGGGGAUCUUCGGACCUUGCGCGAUUGAAUGAGCCGAUGUCGGAUUAGCUAGUUGGCGGGGUAAAGGCCCACCAAGGCGACGAUCCGUAGCUGGUCUGAGAGGAUGAUCAGCCACACUGGAACUGAGACACGGUCCAGACUACUACGAGAGGGAGCAGUGGGGAAUAUUGGACAAUGGGCGCAAGCCUGAUCCAGCCAUACCGCGUGGGUGAAGAAGGCCUUCGGGUUGUAAAGCCCUUUUGUUGGGAAAGAAAAGCAGCAGGUUAAUACCCCGCUGUUCUGACGGUACCCAAAGAAUAAGCACCGGCUAACUUCGUG